rnacentral:rRNA from 1 species
UACGUAGGGUGCAAGCGUUUAUCCGGAAUUAUUGGGCGUAAAGAGCUCGUAGGCGGUUUGUCGCGUUCUGCUGUGAAAACCCGAGGCUCAACCUCGGGCCUGCAGUCGAUACGGGCAAACUAGAGUACUGCAGGGGAGACUGGAAUUCCUGGUGUAGCGGUGAAAUGCGCAGAUAUCAGGAGGAACACCGGUGGCGAAGGCGGGUCUCUGGGCAGUAACUGACGCUGGAGGAAGCGAAAGCGUGGGGAGCAAACAGG